rnacentral:rRNA from 1 species
CUGGCGGCNGGCCUACACAUGCAAGUCGAGCGGAUGAGAAGAGCUUGCUCUUCGAUUCAGCGGCGGACGGGUGAGUAAUACCUAGGAAUCUGCCUGGUAGUGGGGGACAACGUUUCGAAAGGAACGCUAAUACCGCAUACGUCCUACGGGAGAAAGCAGGGGACCUUCGGGCCUUGCGCUAUCAGAUGAGCCUAGGUCGGAUUAGCUAGUUGGUGAGGUAAUGGCUCACCAAGGCUACGAUCCGUAACUGGUCUGAGAGGAUGAUCAGUCACACUGGAACUGAGACACGGUCCAGACUCCUACGGGAGGCAGCAGUGGGGAAUAUUGGACAAUGGGCGAAAGCCUGAUCCAGNCCAUGCCGCGUGUGUGAAGAAGGUCUUCGGAUUGUAAAGCACUUUAAGUUGGGAGGAAGGGCAGUAAGCGAAUACCUUGCUGUUUUGACGUUACCGACAGAAUAAGCACCGGCUAACUCUGUGCCAGCAGCCGCGGUAAUACAGAGGGUGCAAGCGUUAAUCGGAAUUACUGGGCGUAAAGCGCGCGUAGGUGGUUCGUUAAGUUGGAUGUGAAAUCCCCGGGCUCAACCUGGGAACUGCAUCCAAAACUGGCGAGCUAGAGUAGGGCAGAGGGUGGUGGAAUUUCCUGUGUAGCGGUGAAAUGCGUAGAUAUAGGAAGGAACACCAGUGGCGAAGGCGACCNCCUGGGCUCAUACUGACACUGAGGUGCGAAAGCGUGGGGAGCAAACAGGAUNNAUACCCUGGUAGNCCCGCCGUAA